rnacentral:rRNA from 1 species
GAUGAACGCUGGCGGCGUGCCUAAUACAUGCAAGUCGAGCGAACAGACGAGGAGCUUGCUCCUCUGACGUUAGCGGCGGACGGGUGAGUAACACAUGGAUAACCUACCUAUAAGACUGGGAUAACUUCGGGAAACCGGAGCUAAUACCGGAUAAUAUAUUGAACCGCAUGGUUCAAUAGUGAAAGACGGUUUUGCUGUCACUUAUAGAUGGAUCCGCGCCGCAUUAGCUAGUUGGUAAGGUAACGGCUUACCAAGGCAACGAUGCGUAGCCGACCUGAGAGGGUGAUCGGCCACACUGGAACUGAGACACGGUCCAGACUCCUAUGGGAGGCAGCAGUAGGGAAUCUUCCGCAAUGGGCGAAAGCCUGACGGAGCAACGCCGCGUGAGUGAUGAAGGUCUUCGGAUCGUAAAACUCUGUUAUUAGGGAAGAACAAAUGUGUAAGUAACUAUGCACGUCUUGACGGUACCUAAUCAGAAAGCCACGGCUAACUACGUG